rnacentral:rRNA from 1 species
AUACGGGGGAUACGAGCGUUAUCCGGAUUUAUUGGGUUUAAAGGGUGCGCAGGCGGACCGGUAAGUCAGGGGUGAAAAGUCGGGGCUCAACUCCGAUCGUGCCUUUGAUACUGCCGGACUGGAGUGCGAUAGGCGUGGCCGGAAUGUGGUGUGUAGCGGUGAAAUGCUUAGAUAUGCCACAGAACACCGAUCGAGAAGUCAGGUCACGAGUUCGCAACUGACGCUCAUGCACGAAAGCGUGGGGAUCAAACAGGAUUAGAUACCCUGGUAGUCCACGCUGUAAACGAUGAUCACUCGUUGUUGGGGGGUGACCCUCAGCGGCCAAGCGAAAGCGAUAAGUGAUCCACCUGGGGAGUACGAUCGCAAGGUUGAAACUCAAAGGAAUUGACGGGG